CAGGUGACCCCACAAGGCUCCGGUGUUGAUGAUCCAGAUCCACACUUUGACAUGUGCAAAUGAACUACCCACCUAUUAUAAUUUGUUGGUGAUGUUAGACAAGUGUAUGACAGCUUUUUGUAAUGUUUUGCACAGGUAAAAUUUUAUAUUUCAUG